UCGUGAUCUCUGCUCCGUCAUGUUUUAUAGUUUUCACAUUUGUGGUUGCAUUGGCUUUGCGUGAAGAAAGUUCAUUAAUAAGUCGCCACGUUUUCUUUGGAUCAUUUUUGGCUGUAUUAAUCCGCGUCAUGAAGUAAUCUCGUUUCGACUUUUUAAUAAGCUUAUUAGCUUCAUUGCGAGCUUUUUUAUAUCGAGACCAAAUUUGAUCGUUAGGAUUUUUAUCAAAACGUUUUUUGAGAGAGUCUCUUUCGCGUAAUUUAUGAAUUAGCAAUGAGUUAAUCCACGGAGAUUUUUUACAUCUAAGCCUUUUGGUUAGAACAGGAGCAUGAAUGUCCAAAAUAUCUGAAAAUUUGGUGAACCAGGCUGUCCACAUAUCAUUAGGAUUGUUUUGUGAGUUUAUAUCGGACCAAUUUAUUUGUCGGAUAUCAUUUAAAAAUUCCUCAUCAUUAAAAUUUUUCAUUUGUCUCCUAGUGACUGGAUAAUUUGUAUCGAUAACUUGAUGAUUAGAUUUACGAAUCAAAUAGGUCAAGGAAUGGUCACUAAUACCCAAUGAAUGUGUUCCAGACACUGUUACUUUGUCAGGAUAGUUUGUAAAACAGAGAUCGAUGAGUGUUUUAGAAGUGCUAGUGAUUCUAGUAGGCUGUGAUAUAAUCUGGGAAAGGUUGUAGAUAUUAGAAAUAUUGAGGAGUUCACUCGUAUUGCUGUCAGG